rnacentral:rRNA from 1 species
CCUACGGGAGGCAGCAGUGAGGAAUAUUGGUCAAUGGGCGCAAGCCUGAACCAGCCAAGUCGCGUGAGGGAUUAAGGCCCUAUGGGUUGUAAACCUCUUUUGUCGGGGAGCAAAGGCCGCCACGUGUCGCGGGCAGGAGAGUACCCGCAGAAAAAGCAUCGGCUAACUCCGUGCCAGCAGCCGCGGUAAUACGGAGGAUGCGAGCGUUAUCCGGAUUUAUUGGGUUUAAAGGGUGCGUAGGCGGAAGGUUAAGUCAGCGGUAAAAUGUCGGGGCUCAACACCGUACUGCCGUUGAAACUGGUGGGCUUGAGUGAGCGAGAAGAAGGCGGAAUGCGUGGUGUAGCGGUGAAAUGCAUAGAGAGCACGCAGAACCCCGAUUGCGAAGGCAGCAUACCGGCGCACAACUGACGCUGAGGCACGAAAGUGUGGGGAGCGAACAGGAUUAGAUACCCGGGUAGUC